rnacentral:lncRNA from 1 species
CAUUCUAAGGAGUGGAAGGUACAUAAAUACUUUUUGUAAUUUCUAGAAAUGUGUUUUCUCACAGACAGUUUCUCAGUGUGGCAUAGACUGUGUUUAUUAAUAGAACCAGUUGUCUUUAAUUCCUCUCUAAAAAGAAGCAAGCAAAAAAAGAUAGGUAAACCCAUGUUCAGUAAUUAAUGUCACUGCUUUACUUUGUUUGGAAUUUUCAUCUAGGAAGUUCCCGUCCUGGCGCAGUGGUUAACAAAUAUAACUAGGAACCAUGAGAUUGUGGGUUCCGUCCCUGCCCUUGCUCAGUGGGUUAAUGAUCUGGCGUUGCCGUGAGCUGUGGUGUAGGUUGCAGACACGGCUUGGAUCCCGAGUUGCUGUGGCUCUGGUGUAGGACUCGCCAACCCCUGCGCCAUGAUGGGAACUCCUGUGUCUGUCUUAUAGUCCUUUGUUUUAAGUACCUCUUAUCUUUAAUUUUUCAUUAGCAUUUUGCAGUGAAACUUUCGGUAAAGGUCUUUUGAUAUAUUUGGAAGCUUCUGCAUACCAAUUAAAAUAUUUUCCCUUUUUGUUUAAUUUGGGAACUCUUUUAUGUGCACUUAAAACAAUUUUUUUUUAAGUUAAAAUAUUUUUAUGGCCAUACCUGUGGCUUAUGGAAAUUCCCAGGCCAGGGGUUGAACCCGACCUGCUGCAGUUGGAUUUUUAACACACUUACACCACAGUGGGAACUCCUAAGUGCACUUCGUAAGUGAAUGAUCUUGUCUAAUUGGAAUGUUCCCCAUAAUGGCCAUUGAAAUUCUAGGUUGUUUUUAGUAAGAUUUUGUUAUUUUUGUAGAUAGCUGUAGUUUCCAGGAUUAUAGUUGUUAGACAUAAAAUAAGUAGGUGUGCCAGGAGGGGUGUUCCUAACUCUUUGGAUUUUACAGAUCCUAUUAUUACUAUUAUUUUUAGCUAAGCUUUUGGAUGUCUUGGUGCAAAACUAAAGCCUAAGAGGGGAGUGUCCUAGGGUUGGGGAUUCUGUGGUGUUUACCGUAUACCUCUAUUUCCAGUUGCCUAUGGAAAUUGAUUUGAGGUCAGCAGCUUACUUAGUGUUGAUAACCUAUUCUGUGACCAGCUUACCCAAAUACAGGAAUCUUUGGGUUAGGUCGUAGGUGCUCUAAUAGAUCUUAAAUGUUUGACUCUUACCCAUCAAUUUUAUGACUUUUUUGAUUUCCGAGAGUCCUAUCAGCAUUUAGCCUUUAUCUACAUAAACCACGGCAAAAAAUAUGCACCUUAACAUGUACUGCAUUCUAGCCAAGAAAAGGCCCUGUGUGUACAACCAGUAAUUCCCCAACAUGGAACCUUGAAGUGGGGAAAGGAGUGAACCAGCAGAUCUCAACAAACGGGAGCUGUGGAUUUGGGGCUCUACAUAAAUAGUGUACUGUGCACUGCCACUAACAGUUCCCAUGUGGAUUUUGGGACAGCAUUAAGGGUUGGAGGUUCCUCUCAAAAACCUGGAAAUUGCAGUCCAUAAUGAAAGCUAGGGGCUUGGGUUCCAGGCAAAACAGCACCAGCUCAAGCUGUCUUGCUCUGUAAAGAAAAGCCAAUUAGAUCCAGAGCUUGAUGCAAAGAGAAAGAAAUUCAGACUUGAGAGAAACUAACCCCUGGCUCUUGAAAAUGGCUGAAAGACAGUGAACCCAAAAAGGUGUUAAUUGGUACCACACCUGUCUUUCUUGUUGUCCUUGAAUGUGCUUGAAGUUUGUUUUCUUUGCAUCUUGACACUAACAACAAAUCUGCUAUUGAAAGACAAAAUUCAGCUGAAUAAAUUUGAAGAUCUAAUUGGCUUUAUUAAUUGAUUCAUGAACCAUGCAGCCUCCCAUCUAUCGGGAGGAAAGGAGCUCCAAGGAGUUCCAGAAAAAGAAAAGUUUUAAAAGGUAGAGAGGAGGUAGGACAAGAAAGCCCUAAACAAACAGAAAAGGAUUAUUUUGAGCAAAAUCACCUUCCUUUGGGAAACAGAAAGGUUUAUUGGCUGAUACCUCCCUGGCGCUGACCAGCAGAUUCUAGACUGACUAGUUAAGGUUCCAUUCCUGGGGAAAGUUGAAACUGCAGUUACGUUAGGUAUUAAGUCUUGGUUUGAUGACAUGGGCUUAAUACAAGUGGCUCCAAUUUGGGCCUGUUUGUUUCUUUUUUUUAAUAGCAGAAAAACUGCUGAACAGCAUUGAAGACAGUUACAGUGGAGGCAGUACCUGGGCAUGAAUAUCAUUGUGACUUUAUUCUUUGGUGACUCUUUGACCUUCUAGGGGUCACAUAAUACUUAGUUUUGAAAAAGACACUGAUGGAGGAGUUGGUUAAAUGCAAAUAAGAAGCAGAUUCCUUGACUGACAGGUUCAUGUUAUUCACAGAAAGGCUGAUGGCUCUAGAUUUGUGGGUGAUUUGUAGAACCAUAAAUUAUACUUCUUCUCAAGGUUGCCUUUUGUUGUCAGAACACUUAGCAUAAGUCAGAAAUGGUAGGUUUUACCUGAAAAGAACAAAAAACCCAUUAAAUAUAAUGUUAGCAC